rnacentral:rRNA from 1 species
GAUGAACGCUAGCGGCAGGCCUAACACAUGCAAGUCAGGGGUAACAUAGGAAAGCUUGCUUUUCUGAUGACGACCGGCGCACGGGUGCGUAACGCGUAUACAACCUACCUUUUAGCGGGGAAUAGCCCAGGGAAACUUGGAUUAAUGCCCUAUAGUAUAUAGACUUCUCCUGAAGUUUAUAUUAAACAUUUAUGGCUAUUAGAUGGGUAUGCGUCCUAUUAGUUAGUUGGUAAGGUAACGGCUUACCAAGGCAGCGAUAGGUAGGGGUCCUGAGAGGGAGAUCCCCACACUGGUACUGAGACACGGACCAGACUCCCACGGGAGGCAGCAGUGAGGAAUAUUGGACAAUGGGCGAGAGCCUGAUCCAGCCAUGCCGCGUGCAGGAAGACUGCCCUAUGGGUUGUAAACUGCUUUUACAGAGGAAGAACCACCCCCACGUGUGGGGGUUUGACGGUACUCUGCGAAUAAGGAUCGGCUAACUCCGUG